CUUCGGCUGUUGCCUCUCUUCCCUUCCUCUCAAACGAUGAAAUCAUCACAGAAAUAUCUUCAAUCGUCAAUCUAAGGUUUGAAGAACUGAUUUGUUAAUCCAACUUAAAAGGGUUUGUGUUGCUUAUCAAAAUUAGAACUUUGAAGAACUGGUCAGAGUUGGAACUGUUUGGGUCAUUCUUAAGUGUCAUGCCAAAAAUUAAAGUUGGAAUAUUUAGAGGAGCUGCUGUUGGAUCAGUCGCUGAUCUGAUUAUUGGUUAUGGAACGGAAUACUGAACUGAGUUUGUUGAAUUUACCACUGCCAGCGGAGCUCAAGAUGGACAUCCUUAGCCAUUUUUUCUUGUCCCUGCAAAAUAAUACAACGAAAACACAGAGAGCUUUGUCUGCCGUUGAUAUAGUGAAGGGUGGGAAAGUAAGGGAUGUGAACUUGGGUAACUGGUUGGUUGUUGAGAGAUGGAUGAAGCCUGGACUAUUUGAUGGCAUUGCCCCAAUCCAGAUAUGCUCGACGGAGCAAAUGUUCGUUUCAGAUCUCUGAAGUUUAAUGAGUAUAUAAGUGCAAAAAAUGGAGGAGGUUCAGGUGUCUUUGUGGACCAAGAAAAAGCCAUUUAUUGGGAAACCUUCAGAUUAUGGAGGGUAACUCGGUCGGAAUAUCAGUUUCGUGGCUUCACUAAACAGUUUCUAUCCUGUACUGGACAAGGGGCCUCUGUCACUGCAACAUCCAUAUCACCAUCAAAGACGGAAACAUUUACUAUUUGAAAGAGGGGAGGACAAGAAAGUUUGUAUCAAACAUGCUAGUGGUAAAUAUCUGCAGGCGUCCUCUGGAAAUGAGCUCAAAGAAGAUUAUCCAGGGAUCCCAGGAUGGGAUGAUGAUGGUAGUGCAGCCAUUUUUGAAAUGACUUUUGAUCAUAGUGAUCCUGCUGGCGAUUUGCAAGGAGAGUACCAUCUAUCUAAUGGGCUUGGACCCGAAAAGGCAAACGAAGUUCUUACUGCACAUAGGAACAAUUACGUCACAGGAGAAGACUUUCAGUUCCUUAGCCAACAUACUAUCAACACCGUGAGGAUUCCUGUUGGGUGGUGGAUUAUCGAAGAUCCCAAUCCGCCAGCUCCUUAUGUUGCGGGAAGUUUGGCAUCUCUAGAUAAUGCAUUCAAAUUGGCACAAGGGAGAAAUUCUGUGAAGGCACAAGGAGAUCUAAAGUUGCUUGAGAGGUGAUAUAUGUAUACCCUAUGUUGUCCAACUUUCUUUGUCCCCUGGGAUGCUGCAAGGAGAUCAAUGGUUAUCCUGGUGACUGUUAGUAAGUUUCGAUACACUAAAUUGAGGUGUUUUAGAUUCAUGUUCAUUUUAUGUCUCCGACUAUUAGUAAUUUGGUAAUGUGCUUGUUUGAUCCCAAGUUGGUCGCAAAAAACGAAUUAUUCGAGUGAGAAUGUGGACGGUUAUUUUUCUUACAACUUUUGAAGCAAGAAGAAGUGUAUUGUACUGGCAUUAAUUCUAGGUUCAAGCUAUAAUCGUCGCAGUUUAACAGUUUCUUGUCAGCUUCCAUACCAGGUUUGUUUUUUUGCAUCAGAUUCGGAGAAGCUCCUGCGAAUGUCAUAAUGAAUAGUUUUGCAGCCAUUGCUCACUGCAACGUGGGUAGAUUACACUAGGAAAAAUGAUGCUGUUCACCUUCUUUGGCUCUAUGGAGUUGAUUCAUUCAGGUGAAAUGGCUGAAUAAGGAGCAACAACAUUAACAACAAAUUCUUGCACGGCAGCAACAACAGCAGAUCCUAAUACCACCACAACAUCAGCUUCACUUGCAGUUGCAACCUCAGCAAUUUUCACUGCAGACAUAUUCAUGGAGCCAAAUCAGUUAACAAAAAAGGAGCUUCAAGAUUUGUGAACCUGAGAUGAACGGAAUGAAUGUGAUUCUGAAAUGAAUGAAUGUUCUUCUGCAUACAUCGAAGAAAUUGUUGUUGAGAGUGGUUAUGAAUGUAUUGAAAGGUGCAUGCACAGUAUUGAAUUUAGAAUUCCGACAUAUUUUCGGCAGAAAAAUUACUGUCAGUCAGCCUUGACCUAGUCAAGGUUGACCAGCGGUAAUCUUUUUGUUGUUACAAAAAAAGUUUGUAACGGCUUGAAUUUGUUACAAUCUGCCACGUAGUAUCGGCUCCAACGUUAUGACAGCGUUGUUAUAAAAAAAAUACGUAACGGCCUUUUACCACGUGGAAUAUUAGUUCUGCUCGCAGCUGUUACGGGGGCCGUUACAAACAUAAUUCGUUAGAAAAAAUGUAACAACCUCUUUUGCAACAGGCGGGAUCCGCUACAACUCGUUUUAGUAACGGCUUACGUCUGUUACGAAUCCAGGAAUUUGGUAUAGUGAUCUCGAUUAUGUCAUGAGAUCUUGUUGGUACUUUAUUAAGGUAAAAUUGACGU